UACAAACUAAAACAGCUUAUAAUCUUAAGUGUUUAGUUUUGCUAGUCCUGUAGCUAGCCAGUAACAACUGAAGGAACCACGUUAGUGGUUAAUGGCAAAGCUGGUUUUGCUGUACACGAUGUUAGUAACUGACAAAACCCCAGAAGCAAGUGAAGAAUGUACAGAGCGCAUCUUGGUUCUUGGCCGCCAGGGAAGGAAGGUGUAGGAGGGCUACAAAACAGAAGGAGGAAGGUAAUAACUUCCAAAUCACACUAAUGAUUGCAUCACAGAGUUGUCUGCUAACUUUGGAGAAAACACAAUCCCUUGUUUAAAUCCAGGUAAAAUGGAAGUGAUGAACUGUCUACUCUGUGGUGAGCUCAAGUUUAAUUAUAUUGAAGUGUGCCACCUAAGUUAAAAGGAAAUGAAAUCUUUAUCCUUGGAAUUUCUUUGUGUGCAUAUCCAGGUAUAAAGCAAGGCUGUAUUGUACCAGAUGCUUGGAAUGAGGCUGAAGGAAAGGUUUGUCCCAACAGCUUUAUAACCCAAGUGUAAUAAAAGCAGUGAAGGAUGCUCGUAGAACCCACAUAAUGACAGAAACAGGAGUAUUGACACGGUAAUGAUAGCAUUAGUGUAUUAGCAGCACAAUAAAUGUUUACAAAACAUUUUAUCAGAACUUCCAUGGAAGCCAAAGAAAAUGUUAAAAUUUCUGCUGCUCCUGUUCUCGAAAUAAAGCUUUACAGGCAGGUAUUUGGAGAUCGGGGGGGAACAAAACUAACAAGAGAUCAGCAAACUCACAUUUAAAUGGAUGUGAUGUACCUGAUUUAGAAAUAAAGGUGAAGGAAAAACAAUACCAAUUCUAAGAUUACUCUACAUAUAAGAAUAGCAGAUGGGGACACAAACAAACAAUCUAUGCAGUUUUAUGUGAUUCUAAUGAAUAAACCACAGAGAUUAAAAGUCAGGAGGUGACUUUCUGAAGAGUGAAAUUAAGUUAACAGUAAAGACAGCCUGAGAGAAAGUAACAGUAAGUAAUCACAUUAUGUUGGUGUCAUGCCUGAUUUCAACUCAGUAAUUUUGUUGCCCAAAUUGGAGUCCUGCCAGGUUUAGAGAGUUUAAUCUUCAUUGUACCCUCAUGGUUUGUCACCUGUAUGAGCUCUUCAGUGUUUUGAUUGUGCUGUACAUGGUUAUAGAAUCAUAGAAUACUUUAGGUUGGAAGAGACAAUGUAAUAAUUGACAUGUUUUUGUGAGACAUUUUCUGCCUUUCUCACCUCAUCUUGUUGCCUAGACUACUGAUAUGCUAUCUCUAUGAACUGUAGUUAUGUGUAAACUCCUUUGAACAGAUAAAUUUGCCUGAUUCUGUGGACCAAACAUUGAGAAACAGAUCAUUUACUUUUUGUAUAUGCUUUCCCUUCCAACUCUUGGAUUAUUUUGCAAAAUCUACAGCUGAGUGUCACAUUCCUAUCGUGGUGUCAUUGCCCUUCUCCAACACACAGACAACACUGCUUGCUUUUACAUCACUUUUCUUUGCUGCUAUGUUCCAGUAUUAUUACAUCUCAGUAUACCACCCCCAUUGGAUCCCACUGAGACUGACUGUUUGGAUAAAGAGAAAGUUGGGGUUCUGU